UACAGAGGGUGCAAGCGUUAAUCGGAAUUACUGGGCGUAAAGCGUGCGUAGGCGGUUAUCUAAGUCGGGUGUGAAAUCCCCGGGCUCAACCUGGGAAUUGCAUUCGAUACUGGAUAGCUAGAGUUCGGCAGAGGGAAGCGGAAUUUCGGGUGUAGCGGUGAAAUGCGUAGAUAUCCGAAGGAACAUCAGUGGCGAAAGCGGCUUCCUGGACCAGAACUGACGAUCAGGCACGAAAGCGUGGGGAGCAAACAGG
rnacentral:rRNA from 1 species